AACGACUCUCGGCAACGGAUAUCUCGGCUCUCGCAUCGAUGAAGAACGUAGCGAAAUGCGAUACUUGGUGUGAAUUGCAGAAUCCCGUGAACCAUCGAGUCUUUGAACGCAAGUUGCGCCCCAAGCCUUCUGGCUGAGGGCACGUCUGCCUGGGUGUCAC
rnacentral:rRNA from 4 species